GAUGAACGCUGGUGGCGUGCCUAAUACAUGCAAGUCGAGCGAAUGGAUUAAGAGCUUGCUCUUAUGAAGUUAGCGGCGGACGGGUGAGUAACACGUGGGUAACCUGCCCAUAAGACUGGGAUAACUCCGGGAAACCGGGGCUAAUACCGGAUAACAUUUUGAAUCGCAUGGUUCGAAAUUGAAAGGCGGCUUCGGCUGUCACUUAUGGAUGGACCCGCGUCGCAUUAGCUAGUUGGUGAGGUAACGGCUCACCAAGGCAACGAUGCGUAGCCGAGCUGAGAGGGUGAUCGGCCACACUGGGACUGAGACACGGCCCAGACUCCUACGGGAGGCAGCAGUAGGGAAUCUUCCGCAAUGGACGAAAGUCUGACGGAGCAACGCCGCGUGAGUGAUGAAGGCUUUCGGGUCGUAAAACUCUGUUGUUAGGGAAGAACAAGUGCUAGUUGAAUAAGCUGGCACCUUGACGGUACCUAACCAGAAAGCCACGGCUAACUACGUGCCAGCCGCCGCGGUAA
rnacentral:rRNA from 1 species